GCCGGCGUAGCUCAGUAGGUUAGAGCGCUUGAUUGUGGAUCAAGAGGCCCCCCGUUCAAGCCGGGGCGCUGGUACCA
rnacentral:tRNA from 1 species